rnacentral:rRNA from 1 species
AUUGAACGCUGGCGGCAGGCCUAACACAUGCAAGUCGAACGAGUGGCGGACGGGUGAGUAAUGUCUGGGCAACUGCCCGAUGGAGGGGGAUAACUACUGGAAACGGUAGCUAAUACCGCAUACCAUCGGAUGUGCCCAGAUGGGAUUAGCUAGUAGGGGGGGUAAAGGCUCACCUAGGCGACGAUCCCUAGCUGGCCUGAGAGGAUGACCAGCCACACUGUAACUGAGACACGGUCCAGACUCCUACGGGAGGCAGCAGUGGGGAAGAUUGCACAAGGGGCGCAAGCCUGAUGCAGCCAUGCCGCGUGUAUGAAGAAGGCCUUCGGGUUGUAAAGUACUUUCAGCGGGGAAGCGUUACCCGCAGAAGAAGCACCGGCUAACUCCGUGCCAGCAGCCGCGGUAAUUC